GAUGAACGCUGGCGGCGUGCCUAAUACAUGCGAGUCGAGCGAACGGACGAGAAGCUUGCUUCUCUGAUGUUAGCGGCGGACGGGUGAGUAACACGUGGAUAACCUACCUAUAAGACUGGGAUAACUUCGGGAAACCGGAGCUAAUACCGGAUAAUAUUUUGAACCGCAUGGUUCAAAAGUGAAAGACGGUCUUGCUGUCACUUAUAGAUGGAUCCGCGCUGCAUUAGCUAGUUGGUAAGGUAACGGCUUACCAAGGCAACGAUGCAUAGCCGACCUGAGAGGGUGAUCGGCCACACUGGAACUGAGACACGGUCCAGACUCCUACGGGAGGCAGCAGUAGGGAAUCUUCCGCAAUGGGCGAAAGCCUGACGGAGCAACGCCGCGUGAGUGAUGAAGGUCUUCGGAGCGUAAAACUCUGUUAUUAGGGAAGAACAUAUGUGUAAGUAACUGUGCACAUCUUGACGGUACCUAAUCAGAAAGCCACGGCUAACUACGUG
rnacentral:rRNA from 1 species